GGGGAAUUUUCCGCAAUGGGCGAAAGCCUGACGGAGCAAUACCGCGUGAGGGAGGAAGGCUCUUGGGUCGUAAACCUCUUUUCUCAGGGAAGAACACAAUGACGGUACCUGAGGAAUAAGCAUCGGCUAACUCCGUGCCAGCAGCCGCGGUAAUACGGAGGAUGCAAGCGUUAUCCGGAAUGAUUGGGCGUAAAGCGUCCGCAGGUGGCUAUGUAAGUCUGCUGUUAAAGAAUCUAGCUUAACUAGAUAAGAGCAGUGGAAACUACAAGGCUAGAGUACGUUCGGGGCAGAGGGAAUUCCUGGUGUAGCGGUGAAAUGCGUAGAGAUCAGGAAGAACACCGGUGGCGAAGGCGCUCUGCUAGGCCGUAACUGACACUGAGGGACGAAAGCUAGGGGAGCGAAUGGGAUUAGAUACCCCAGUAGUCCUAGCCGUAAACGAUGGAUACUAGGCGUGGCUUGUAUCGACCCGAGCCGUGCCGUAGCUAACGCGUUAAGUAUCCCGCCUGGGGAGUACGCCGGCAACGGUGAAACUCAAAGGAAUUGACGGGGGCCCGCACAAGCGGUGGAGUAUGUGGUUUAAUUCGAUGCAACGCGAAGAACCUUACCAAGGCUUGACAUGUCGCGAAUCCUGGUGAAAGCUGGGAGUGCCUUCGGGAGCGCGAACACAGGUGGUGCAUGGCUGUCGUCAGCUCGUGUCGUGAGAUGUUGGGUUAAGUCCCGCAACGAGCGCAACCCUCGUUUUUAGUUGCCAGCAUUAAGUUGGGCACUCUAGAGAGACUGCCGGUGACAAACCGGAGGAAGGUGGGGAUGACGUCAAGUCAGCAUGCCCCUUACGCCUUGGGCUACACACGUACUACAAUGCUCCGGACAGAGGGCAGCAAGCAUGCGAAUGCAAGCAAAUCCCGUAAACCGGAGCUCAGUUCAGAUCGCAGGCUGCAACUCGCCUGCGUGAAGGAGGAAUCGCUAGUAAUUGCAGGUCAGCAUACUGCAGUGAAUUCGUUCCCGGGCCUUGUACACACCGCCCGUCACACCAUGGAAGCUGGUAGUGCCCGAAGUCAUUACUCCAACCUUUCGGGGAGGAGGAUGCCUAAGGCAGGACUGGUGACUGGGGUGAAGUCGUAACAAGGUAGCCGUACCGGAAGGUGUGGCUGGAUCACCUCCUU
rnacentral:rRNA from 1 species